AUACGUAGGGUGCGAGCGUUAAUCGGAAUUACUGGGCGUAAAGCGUGCGCAGGCGGUUUUGUAAGACAGUGGUGAAAUCCCCGGGCUUAACCUGGGAACUGCCAUUGUGACUGCAAGGCUGGAGUGCGGCAGAGGGGGAUGGAAUUCCGCGUGUAGCAGUGAAAUGCGUAGAUAUGCGGAGGAACACCGAUGGCGAAGGCAAUCCCCUGGGCCUGCACUGACGCUCAUGCACGAAAGCGUGGGGAGCAAACAGGAUUAGAUACCCUGGUAGUCCACGCCCUAAACGAUGUCAACUGGUUGUUGGGAAUUUAUUUUCUCAGUAACGAAGCUAACGCGUGAAGUUGACCGCCUGGGGAGUACGGCCGCAAGGUUAAAACUCAAAGGAAUUGACGG
rnacentral:rRNA from 1 species